AUAUGUAUGUGUAUAUCUAUGUGUGUGUAUACACAUACAUAUACAUAUACACAUACGCAUAUAUGCACAUAUAUACACACAA
rnacentral:miRNA from 1 species